UAGAGUUUGAUCAUGGCUCAGAGUGAACGCUGGCGGUAGGCCUAACACAUGCAAGUCGAACGGCAGCACGAGAGAGCUUGCUCUCUUGGUGGCGAGUGGCGGACGGGUGAGGAAUACAUCGGAAUCUACCUUUUGGUGGGGGAUAACGUAGGGAAACUUACGCUAAUACCGCAUACGCCCUUCGGGGGAAAGCCGGGGACCUUCGGGCCUGGCGCUGAUAGAUGAGCCGAUGUCGGAUUAGCUAGUUGGUGAGGUAAUGGCUCACCAAGGCGACGAUCCGUAGCUGGUCUGAGAGGAUGAUCAGCCACACUGGAACUGAGACACGGUCCAGACUCCUACGGGAGGCAGCAGUGGGGAAUAUUGGACAAUGGGCGCAAGCCUGAUCCAGCCAUACCGCGUGGGUGAAGAAGGCCUUCGGGUUGUAAAGCCCUUUUGUUGGGAAAGAAAAGCGAUCGGUUAAUACCCGGUUGUUCUGACGGUACCCAAAGAAUAAGCACCGGCUAACUUCGUGCCAGCAGCCGCGGUAAUACGAAGGGUGCAAGCGUUACUCGGAAUUACUGGGCGUAAAGCGUGCGUAGGUGGUGGUUUAAGUCCGUUGUGAAAGCCCUGGGCUCAACCUGGGAAUUGCAGUGGAUACUGGGUCACUAGAGUGUGGUAGAGGAUAGUGGAAUUUCCGGUGUAGCAGUGAAAUGCGUAGAGAUCGGAAGGAACAUCUGUGGCGAAGGCGAC
rnacentral:rRNA from 1 species